GGCUGAGUGAGACAGUGGCCUACUCUGGUUGACUCGAAUACUCUAUCGUACGGUAUCAACUCCCGAAAGGGGCGCAUGUUCGAAUCAUGCCUCAGUCG